rnacentral:rRNA from 1 species
UACGAAGGGUGCAAACGUUGCUCGGAAUUAUUGGGCGUAAAGCGCACGUAGGCGGCUUGGCAAGUCGGAUGUGAAAUCCCUCGGCUCAACCAAGGAAGUGCAUCCGAAACUGCCGAGCUUGAGUACUUAAGAGGAUCGCGGAAUUCCGCGUGUAGCAGUGAAAUGCGUAGAUAUGCGGAGGAACACCGAUGGCGAAGGCAAUCCCCUGGGCCUGCACUGACGCUCAUGCACGAAAGCGUGGGGAGCAAACAGG